rnacentral:lncRNA from 1 species
ACACGUAACAUCAGCUUUCCAGAUACCACAUACCACUUUUUCAAAGUGCUCUGACAAAAUUAAAACACGUGAAGCUGACAGCUCCCACUACAUUGCUGUGACCAAGAAGGGUAAAGGAAUAGCAUUACUACUUGUUAUUGGGAAAUCCCUAUAUAUACAUUGACCUCCCUCCUCAACGGACAGGCAAACCUGCAAAAAUGCUCAACCCUUUCUCGCAUUCGAAAAGGCACCCUCAACAUAACCUCUCGAAAUACUCAGCUUUAUUUCCCCCCGAUAAUACCUCAGCAAAUAAGCCACACCAAGAACAAGAGUAUCUCAUAUCAUCAGGAUCGAAAGCAAGAGUAUCCCAUAUCAUGCUUUCUCCCUGUCUUUGUCUUUGUCUUUGUCCACACCUGCAGGACAAGGAGAAAGAGAGCAGUCAGUCGGAACCUGAAAUCAAACCUCCAAUUUGGAACUGACUGCCUGGAGCCUUUGCCUGGUUGCUUACUUAGCAUUGCUCUCGAGUACUCAUCCUCAACUGCUGUCAAGG